rnacentral:rRNA from 1 species
AUAAUGGGUCAGCGACUUAUAUUCUGUAGCAAGGUUAACCGAAUAGGGGAGCCGAAGGGAAACCGAGUCUUAACUGGGCGUUAAGUUGCAGGGUAUAGACCCGAAACCCGGUGAUCUAGCCAUGGGCAGGUUGAAGGUUGGGUAACACUAACUGGAGGACCGAACCGACUAAUGUUGAAAAAUUAGCGGAUGACUUGUGGCUGGGGGUGAAAGGCCAAUCAAACCGGGAGAUAGCUGGUUCUCCCCGAAAGCUAUUUAGGUAGCGCCUCGUGAAUUCAUCUCCGGGGGUAGAGCACUGUUUCGGCAAGGGGGUCAUCCCGACUUACCAACCCGAUGCAAACUGCGAAUACCGGAGAAUGUUAUCACGGGAGACACACGGCGGGUGCUAACGUCCGUCGUGAAGAGGGAAACAACCCAGACCGCCAGCUAAGGUCCCAAAGUCAUGGUUAAGUGGGAAACGAUGUGGGAAGGCCCAGACAGCCAGGAUGUUGGCUUAGAAGCAGCCAUCAUUUAAAGAAAGCGUAAUAGCUCACUGGUCGAGUCGGCCUGCGCGGAAGAUGUAACGGGGCUAAACCAUGCACCGAAGCUGCGGCAGCGACGCUGAUGCGUUGUUGGGUAGGGGAGCGUUCUGUAAGCCUGCGAAGGUGUGCUGUGAGGCAUGCUGGAGGUAUCAGAAGUGCGAAUGCUGACAUAAGUAACGAUAAAGCGGGUGAAAAGCCCGCUCGCCGGAAGACCAAGGGUUCCUGUCCAACGUUAAUCGGGGCAGGGUGAGUCGACCCCUAAGGCGAGGCCGAAAGGCGUAGUCGAUGGGAAACAGGUUAAUAUUCCUGUACUUGGUGUUACUGCGAAGGGGGGACGGAGAAGGCUAUGUUGGCCGGGCGACGGUUGUCCCGGUUUAAGCGUGUAGGCUGGUUUUCCAGGCAAAUCCGGAAAAUCAAGGCUGAGGCGUGAUGACGAGGCACU